GAUGAAGAACGUAGCGAAAUGCGAUACUUGGUGUGAAUUGCAGAAUCCCGUGAACCAUCGAGUCUUUGAACGCAAGUUGCGCCCGAAGCCAUUAGGCCGAGGGCACGCCUGCCUGGGCGUCACACGUCGUUGCCCCCCCAUCUACUCCUUCGGGAUUGCGGGGGGCGGAUGAUGGCCUCUCGUGCGCCUCGUCGCGCGGUUGGCCUAAAUGCCAAGUCCUCGGCGACGCACGCCACGACAAUCGGUGGUUGCGAAACCUCGGUUGCCUGUCGUGUGCGGUCGUCGCGCAUCGAGGGCUCGAAAAAAUUGCCGGGCUUCGGCUCGACUUUCAACGCGACCCCAGGUCAGGGGGGUUACCCGCUGAAUUUAAGCAUAUCAAUAAGCGGAGGA
rnacentral:misc_RNA from 1 species